rnacentral:rRNA from 1 species
GGAUGUUUUCAUUAAUCAAGAACGAAAGUUAGGGGAUCGAAGACGAUCAGAUACCGUCGUAGUCUUAACCAUAAACGAUGCCGACCAGCGAUUAGGAGACGUUGAAUACAAAACACCACCAUUGGUGCGGUCGUCCUUGGCAUUUGGUCGUGGCGCGAGUCACGGCCAGGUGCGGGGACGGUUUAGCCUGAUGGAUUUCGGUGAAUGACUCCCUAGCAGCUUGUGAGAAUUGGAUGGCUUCUGUCACCACGUGCUGAAUCGUUUCUUCCGGCGUGAUG